rnacentral:rRNA from 1 species
CACGUAGGGUGCGAGCGUUGUCCGGAAUUAUUGGGCCUAAAGCAUCCGUAGCCGGUUCUACAAGUCUUCCGUUAAAUCCAACUGCUUAACAGGUGGGCUGCGGAAGAUACUAUAGAGCUAGGAGGCGGGAGAGGCAAGCGGUACUCGAUGGGUAGGGGUAAAAUCCGUUGAUCCAUUGAAGACCACCAGUGGCGAAGGCGGCUUGCCAGAACGCGCUCGACGGUGAGGGAUGAAAGCUGGGGGAGCAAACCGG